CAUGAGGGCAGGACCUGUGUUUAUAUUUGUCACCACUGCAUUCCCCAAGCCUGGCACAGUGCUGCAGGAGUGUGUGUGUAAUGUCUGAAUGAGAAAAGGAAUGGGUGCUGGGUGUCCUCGGGAAUGGAGGUGUGUGAUGCCUGGGUCUCCCUACCCUUGCUCUUAAUACUGCUUUCUUGUUGCUUAUAAUUUUCAUUGCCCUAGAUGAUCCAGCUCUGUCGGAGGCACGUAGGCACAGCCAAAUCUCAUGCUGUACAUUGAUCACCUGUCCAACCUUUGCCUAGAGUGGGAGCCCCCAGUUCCUUCAAGAGAUCCAACUUUACCUGUCUGUAAAGAAGAGGAGGAGGGAGACAGCAGGGAGGAUCCGGUGGCAGUUUAACACCAGAGCAGGUCCAAUGUUUACUUUUACCCUUUUGGAGCUAUCAGAAGGGCUGAAUAAAGGGAGACUGCAGCUCUGCAGCAAUAUUCGGAUAAUCUAUUGCAGUGCGGUUCCCAUCACUGUCCACCACCACCUGGAACAGCUCAUCAGAACCGAAGAGGAGUAUUCACUUGCAUUAUGGAGUGCGAGUCUGUUCUACUUGAUACUUCUUUCAUCAUCUCUUGUCAUUUCUCAUGGAUUCGGAUAUGUUGGGAAGGAGGAAUGCAGGGGAAGAGAAAAAAUGGCAGGUCCUUCAUUUCCUUGGGAUGUAGGCGUUGAAAACAUGAUCAUCUCUUCUGAACGUCAUUAUCUGAUAACAUUUUAUUUUUGGUACUUAGAUAUCGUUGGAUAAAUUUGAAUUCUAUGGAAUUUUAACUGUGGAUUUAGCUUCUGUUGGACAACUAGCUUCAUCUCCAGUUAUCCUGCUGGUUCAGUCGAAGUGGUCAUUCCUAAUGCAUUAGAUUAUCAAAAAGUAGAGACUUUCUGUGAGUGAGUACUGUUGGCGGUGUUUGUAUACCAAGAUGUGUGGAGUGGUUGACAAAGAAACCAAAACACCAAAAAUUGCUAGCCUCUACCCUCCUCUGUUUCUUUAAUCUGCUGUUUGAGGAACCACAUUUUGAUGGUGUAACCAGUAGUUACCUCUGGGCCAGGUUGGAAAUGAAUCAAUUUUUUAAACCACUAAUACUUGCCAAGAAAUCGCCUUAUGAGAACAUGGUGUGUGUCUCUGACAAUGCAUGGCACAUCUAAAUUGGUCAUUCAUAAUUUUAUCUAGCCUGUCCAUGUACUGAAAGAGUGGCAAAAGCCUGAGGCACCUCCGUCUCUCUGCUCCCUGUGUUCCGUGCACCCCAUGGCUGGGACGUGGCCAAGCCUCAGACUCUUCCCAUUCCCGUACGUGCAGGUCUCCAUGAAGAAGCUGGGACUCGUUCACAUUUCAAGAUCCAAAUGCUGUGCAAACAGUGUAAGCGUAGAUCUUUCUGUAAAUGAAGGGUCAUUUCUCUCUCUCUCUCUUUUUUAAAUUUGUCUCCAACGUGGAUUCCAAAGCAUUUUCAGCAUCAAACAUGAAAACAUUGAUGAAUGAGGAGUAAUCAUAAAAGCUGUGUAUCUGUAUAUAACUCUGCACAACGUGUAUGCAGGUGCAGAGUCAUUUAAAGCACAUGCCAGGAAAGAGACCAACUUGUAAGGUCUUUUACAUUCGGUGACUUGGUACUAAGGAGAAUUCAACUCCUACUGCUUCCUCUGAAGAUUAAAAAAAAAAAAAAAAAGAAGUUGUCGUAACUUCAUAAAACUCAUGAGUAAGUCUGAAAGUCUGGCAGAUGUGCAACUCUUAUAUUGAUCCAUUUUCUUGUCAGUGGAAGAAACCCUUCCAUGUGUAUGCAAGUGGGAGAUGAAAAUCUGCAUUUGUAAAGGACAAACAAUGAAUUUAAGCAUGAGUGGCCUUAAUAAAUAUAGUUGUCUGUCUUUGCUGCUGUGGAAAGGAUUCUAAACAGAUAUCCCUGAAGUCUUGCAUUGAAUUUAGUCGUUAUUAUUACUUUUUAAAAAAAAAAAAACGUUGGUGCAAUUAACUCUGGACCUCUCUCAUGAGCCAUAGAGAUGUUUAUAAGACAGAGACCUUAUUUAUGGAGGAAGAUGAAACCGUGUCUGAGUUGCACUGUUCAUUCUUGGUGGUUAAUAUAUUCAAGCAGGUUUCUUGCUUCUGGCUUUGUCCUUGUCGUCAGUAAGUAUAGCAAACUACGUAAAGCUUAUGUGUCGCAUAAACAAUCCAAAUACAUUCAUGUUUAAAAAAGUUUGUCCUUUAACUAUCAAAGGGAUUUAGGCUUUGGUUGGAGAAGCGAGCAGAGUUCUUUGCAAGUGUAUCUAGCACAUUUCGACACAAUAUUGCACAGAAAACCCAGGCCACGAAGGUGGCCCCCUGAAGAAUUAGGGUGUCCUUAGAGAGGCGGUCCUCAUUGCCUCCUAAAGCUAGGGCUUGACCUGAACUCGGCAACUGAAUACUUGAAGUAGGAAAUCCACGAGGGAACAUAGGGCCCUCGGAA